rnacentral:rRNA from 1 species
AUUGAACGCUGGCGGCAUGCUUUACACAUGCAAGUCGAACGGCAGCGCGGGCUUCGGCCUGGCGGCGAGUGGCGAACGGGUGAGUAAUACAUCGGAACGUGCCCAGUAGUGGGGGAUAGCUCGGCGAAAGCCGGAUUAAUACCGCAUACGACCUGAGGGUGAAAGCGGGGGAUCUUCAGACCUCGCGCUAUUGGAGCGGCCGAUGGCAGAUUAGCUAGUUGGUGGGGUAAAGGCCUACCAAGGCGCGAUCUGUAGCUGGUCUGAGAGGACGACCAGCCACACUGGGACUGAGACACGGCCCAGACUCCUACGGGAGGCAGCAGUGG